AGUCCACAGUCCACACAUUGGGAUCUGCGCUCCGCCUUGUUUCCUCCAUUCAGAAACCUUUACUUCAGGAAGUCAGGGUUGUACUUGUGCAAAGAUUUUGCCUUUUGGGAGGGGCCCUUGUCACUUUCAUCUUCAUUUUUGCAUUUUAAGAACUUCUGCAUAUAUUUUGCUAACUGCAGACGUCGGGGAGAGUGUUUUCUUCUGCUUGCUUAUUGAGACUGAUUAAACAAAUCCCACCUAGUGGUGGGAAGCUGUAUUGUAUCUGAGAUUUUCAUGGAUAACAGUAGUCCCUGGUGUCUUCAAUUUUUUUUUUUUUUUUUUUUUUUUUUGCCUGUCCCGUUUGGCUCUUUUGCCAUCAGAGUUGUUGUCUAAAGGCAAAGAAAGAUGCCCAACCAAAUUGACCAUCCCAGCCUUGCCGUAAUGGUCCAUUUGAUUCACCUUUUAUUGUUUAUUUUAUUUUCAUUUGCUGAAUACAGGACAGACUUGACUGGGGGAAAGAAGGGGAGAAAGAAAGAAAAAAAAAAACAGCUGAGAAGAGGGACGGGGGGAAGUGCAAAAAAAACCAAAAAAAAACCAAAACAAAAACCAACAGAAUAAGCAGAGAGAAAGAAGAAGAAAAAAAAUGCAUCUAUCGAUCACCUGGAUCACCUGUUGAGAAAGAAAAAAAGAAAGCAAGCAGAAGAGAACAAGAGUAAUAGAAUAAACAACAUCACAAUGAUCUAUGGGAAUAUGACAGUAAAUACUAAAUACUAAACAUUACCGUGCAGCACAUAAGAUCAACAGAACACAGUGUGCUUUGAGGUAGGAGCCAAAAAGGGUGUAGUUUGUGUGUGUGAUCACCCGUGUGUACACCUGUGAGCAUGGACGUGCUUGUUUUUUUUAAAGGUUCCUUCAUGUAAUGAUCUGCUAGAGGGUGUGGGGGGGCCACAGCCCCGUCCUCCAGGGCAUGAAGCAGGUAUGGAGGAGAUCAAAACUCCAGACAUCCAGAGGCCCCCAGAAUACAAGAGACCAUGGAAG
ensembl:lncRNA